AAAAUGGGCUAUGAGAUUUUUUGACCCAUGGGCCAUAGCCUGCUGACGCCUGAUCCAGGUUAUUGGUUGCAAAUCUUUGCAUGUCUGUAUAGUAGGGGUAUAUCAUGAAAUGUUUAUUUGGUUGUUUUCAAUACAGUUCUAUUCCUCCCUUUUCUAGAAUGUACACCAAGGGAUUAUUUUUCUCUUUCUAUUCUGAAUGAACAACAACAAAGAUUAAAAGAAAACUACAAAGUUUAUCAGCUCUCAGAUUGUGAGUCUUAGCACAGUUUUGACAGCAAGAUAUGUCAUCAGAGCCAAUAAACAAGAGAAAUGCUUGGCAGAAAUCUAAGAGAUUCAAUAAUUUGGACCACAGAAGAAUUGAGAAGUUGUGGUUAAGAGAGAAAUCAAGGUCUUAUCUCUGGGAGCACCAGAAGGGCAAAUAACAAAACAAAGGAGUGAGCCUGUCAUAAGAAGGAUAACAGGAGACAGGAUUCAUCAGCAGACAGGGUAUUUUAGUACCUAAUUGAACAUGGAAGCUGCUGGUAAGAUCAGUUUGUUUUGUUCAUCUAUUUGCCUUGAUUACCUUCUAAAGUCUACACUAUUGAGAGGAAAAAAGUAAGGAAAAAGUACCAUAUCAAAGUAGGGCUGAUCUCUGAUUUGUCACCUAGCUACACUACUCAGCUGUCUGUUUUCUCCUGCCUCACCUUGUCUCCUCCUUCCCACUCUGCUUUUUUCUUUCAUGGCAAUUUUACAUUAGCAGACUCAAAAAGGGGGACUAGACAGUACUCCAUUUAAUUUUUUUUUAAUUUAUGGACACAUAUUCAAAUAAAGAAAAAAAUCAUUGGUCUACA
rnacentral:lncRNA from 1 species